GAUGAAGAACGUAGCGAAAUGCGAUAAGUAAUGCGAAUUGCAGAAUUCAGUGAGUCAUCGAAUCUUUGAACGCACAUUGCGCCCUGUGGUAUUCCGCAGGGCAUGCCUGUUCGAGCGUCAUUUCAACCCUCAAGCUCUGCUUGGUGUUGGGCCCUGCCCGCUGCGGCCGGCCCUAAAGACAGUGGCGGUGCCGCCUGGCCCUGAGCGUAGUACAUCUCUCGCUCCAGUGCCCGGUGGUAGCCUGCCAGAACCCCAACUCUCGUGGUUGACCUCGGAUCAGGUAGGGAUACCCGCUGUACUUAAGCAUAUCAAUAAGCGGAGGA
rnacentral:misc_RNA from 1 species